CCUACGGGAGGCUGCAGUGAGGAAUAUUGGUCAAUGGACGCAAGUCUGAACCAGCCAUGCCGCGUGCAGGAAGACGGCUCUAUGAGUUGUAAACUGCUUUUGUACGAGGGUAAACGCAGAUACGCGUAUCUGUCUGAAAGUAUCGUACGAAUAAGGAUCGGCUAAUUCCGUGCCAGCAGCCGCGGUAAUACGGAGGAUUCAAGCGUUAUCCGGAUUUAUUGGGUUGAAAGGGUGCGUAGGCGGUCUGUUAAGUUAGAGGUGAAAUCCCGUGGCUCAACUUCGGAAUUGCGUCUGAUACUGGUCUGCUAGAGAGUAGGUGCGGUAGGCGGAAUGUAUGGUGUAGCGGUGAAAUGCUUAGAGAUCAUGCAGAACACCGAUUGCGAAGGCAGCAUACGAAGCUACUUCUGACGUUGAGGCACGAAAGCGUGGGGAGCAAACAGGAUUAGAUACCCGAGUAGUC
rnacentral:rRNA from 1 species